rnacentral:rRNA from 1 species
GGGCCCGCACAAGCGGUGGAGUAUGUGGUUUAAUUCGAUGCAACGCGAAGAACCUUACCAGGGUUUGACAUCCUGCGAAUCUCUUGGAAACGAGAGAGUGCCUUCGGGAACGCAGUGACAGGUGGUGCAUGGCUGUCGUCAGCUCGUGUCGUGAGAUGUUGGGUUAAGUCCCGCAACGAGCGCAACCCACGUCUUUAGUUGCCAGCAUUUAGUUGGGCACUCUAGAGAGACUGCCGGUGAUAAACCGGAGGAAGGUGUGGAUGACGUCAAGUCAUCAUGCCCCUUACAUCCUGGGCUACACACGUACUACAAUGCUACGGACAAAGGGCUGCAAGUUCCGAGGGGGAGCGGA